AUGCGCAUCCACUCCGGCGCCGCGGAGCGCGAAGCAGCAGCCCCAGUUCCCCCUUCGCCAAAAAGGCGAAGAAAAAAAAAAAAAUUCAAAACCACGAAGAGGGGAGGGGAGGGAGGGGGAGGAGGCAGCCGGCGGCCGGGCAAACUCUACCGGCUAUGCUUGGGCGCCGCCCCGACAGCUCCUCUCCCGCUGCCCGGCCGCAGAGCGCUGCGGGAGGCGGCUCCGCGGAGAGCCGCGGGGAGGAGCGGAGCCGAGCGGAGCCGGUGCCGCCUCCAGGGGAGGGCAGCGGGCUGCGGGCUGUGGGCUUCGGCGCGGCUCCACCCGCGGAUCUCGGGCUGCCCGCACCCGCCGGGCCGGCCCCUGUGGGCCCCGGGAUGUCCGAGGCUGGGAGUGGAGCUGGAAACAGUGCAAGGAGCAUGUUGGAGUUGCUGUGGUCUCAGAAACUGAGGUGGAAGGUGAAGGGACUGAUAACUGCAGUGCAUGGGACUUCCCUGGGGAGCCUCUCUGGAUGCCUGGUCCUGUACAAUAUUGCCUGUGUUCGAGACCUUGGCACCACAUGGUGACAUCUUGAAGUAUUUCUUCUGUAAGUCUCUGCCUUCUGACAGGAGUGGUAAGUAUUUCAACCACUUUUUCCUUCUGUCCACAAAACACGCUACAGCCAGAAGCCCUGAUCCUGAACAGUUAAGGGGGAUCUUAUUAAGACUGGUGCCUAGUGGCAUGAGCGCCUACACUUGAGAAAAACAGUUCAGUUUUUCAGAGCUGCUGUUCCCCUCUUACAGGAGGAAUACUGUAGUAGCCAAAGACCACUCACUGAAUACAAAUGCUUGGAAGAAAAACAAAUACCCUGAUUUUUGUUUUAUCCUGCAGAAAAGUUGGGAAGAACUUGAUUUCUGGGGAGGUGCCCUACAACCCUAACUAGCUGUUCAGCUGGAAGAAUUCACUGUGUAAUUGUAAUUCUGUAGCCUAGAGUAAAUGUAAAAUAAUCUGUUGAACUUGUCUGAUUCAGAAAGCAUUUUUACUCCAGAAAGCCUCAUGGCUCUGGAGAUGAUGAUGUUUUGAGCAGGGAUGGCAGUUAUGGUUUAUAAAACUGAUCUUUACAACACUGUUCUCCUGUUCUUGUGCAGAAAAAUACCAGCAGUUAAAUACUGCAUUUAUUUCCUCCAGGUUAUGUAUAAUUCUAGUUCAGUAUCCUUGUUGUAUCUGAAGGUAUUUACAGGCAUCUUUAAGGAAAGAUAGCUAAAGCACUAAGCGUAGUGCAAAUUGAGCAAAUGUUAUCACAAUUUUAAAGGACUACAGAAAGUUUUUGAAAUUGCAAAAUGAUUUUUACUUACAGUAGAAACACGUGUUUAUGUAUGGUUGUCAUCUUAGUAACUCUUUGAAACGUUCAGCAGUUAAUGCUGUAUAAACCAAAGCUAAUAUCUGUUUUGAAAAACAAAACAAACAAAAAAACACCAAAUAUUAAUGGGAGAAUGUAACCAAAAUGAAAUAACUUUCAAAAAAAAUUGGACUUCUCUCCACAGACAGGAGACAUCUCUUCCCUUUAUACAACACGUCUCAUUUGCGCUGCCUACUGUCCUUUGCUUUCAUCUUACUGACCUCUGUGAUAGCAUACACAUGCCCUGUAAUAGUCCAAGUUGUAAUGCUGUAAGACAUACGUAAUUAUGGCUUUGCUGUAACUUGAUAGUGAGUAGCCAUAAUUAAGAUCCAGGUUUUGUUUCUUUUAUCCUUAGAUAAUCUUUUGGGAACUAUUUCUCAACUUCUGAUUUUGUACUCGAAAGAGUUUUCAAGUGACACGAACAAAACCAUUAAACCACAUUGAUAGCUGCUGCAUGUGAAAUUUUCAUUUUCUAAUGGUAGUAGUAUAAGUGGAAGUUAUUGGUUCAUUUUUUUUUUCUUCUGGUAAAAAUUAGAUAUUAAUAAACAAGGAAUGUAAUUUUGUAGGUUGAAUAUG
rnacentral:lncRNA from 1 species